rnacentral:tRNA from 1 species
AGAGGGGUGUCCGAGUGGUUGAAGGAGCACGCCUGGAAAGUGUGUAUGGGUGCAAGCUCAUCGUGGGUUCGAAUCCCAUCCCCUCUACAA